rnacentral:tRNA from 1 species
GCCGGGGUGGCGAAACGGCAGACGCAGGGGACUUAAAAUCCUCCGGGCGCAAGUCCAUGCGGGUUCGAGUCCCGCCCCCGGCACCA